rnacentral:rRNA from 1 species
CAGGUGCUGCAUGGCUGUCGUCAGCUCGUGUCGUGAGAUGUUGGGUUAAGUCCCGCAACGAGCGCAACCCACGUCUUUAGUUGCCAGCAUUUAGUUGGGCACUCUAGAGAGACUGCCGGUGAUAAACCGGAGGAAGGUGUGGAUGACGUCAAGUCAUCAUGCCCCUUACAUCCUGGGCUACACACGUACUACAAUGCUACGGACAAAGGGCAGCAAGUUCGCGAGGACAAGCAAAUCCCAUAAACCGUGGCUCAGUUCAGAUCGUAGGCUGCAACUCGCCUACGUGAAGGCGGAAUCGCUAGUAAUCGCAGGUCAGCAUACUGCGGUGAAUACGUUCCCGGGCCUUGUACACACCGCCCGUCACACCAUGGAAGUUGGCCACGCCCGAAGCCGUUACUCCAACCCUUGUGGAGGAGGACGUCGAAGGUGGGGCUGAUGACUGGGGUGAAGUCGUAACAAGGUAUCCGUACCGGAAGGUGCGGAUGGAUCACCUCCUAA